rnacentral:rRNA from 1 species
UACGUAGGGUGCGGGCGUGUCCGGAAUUAUUGGGCGUAAAGAGCUCGUAGGCGGUUUGUCGCGUCGACUGUGAAAACCUGGGGCUUAACUCUGGGCCUGCAGUCGAUACGGGCAGACUUGAGUUCGGUAGGGGAGACUGGAAUUCCUGGUGUAGCGGUGAAAUGCGCAGAUAUCAGGAGGAACACCGGUGGCGAAGGCGGGUCUCUGGGCCGAUAUUGACGCUGAGGAGCGAAAGCGUGGGGAGCGAACAGG